UUUGAUCCUGGCUCAGAUUGAACGCUGGCGGCAGGCUUAACACAUGCAAGUCGAGCGGUAGCACAGGGGAGCUUGCUCCCUGGGUGACGAGCGGCGGACGGGUGAGUAAUGUCUGGGAAACUGCCUGAUGGAGGGGGAUAACUACUGGAAACGGUAGCUAAUACCGCAUAACGUCGCAAGACCAAGGAGGGGGACCUUCGGGCCUCUUGCCAUCAGAUGUGCCCAGAUGGGAUUAGCUAGUAUGUGGGGUAAUGGCUCACCUAGGCGACGAUCCCUAGCUGGUCUGAGAGGAUGACCAGCCACACUGGAACUGAGACACGGUCCAGACUCCUACGGGAGGCAGCAGUGGGGAAUAUUGCACAAUGGGCGCAAGCCUGAUGCAGCCAUGCCGCGUGUGUGAAGAAGGCCUUCGGGUUGUAAAGCACUUUCAGCGAGGAGGAAGGUGGUGAGCUUAAUACGCUCAUCAAUUGACGUUACUCGCAGAAGAAGCACCGGCUAACUCCGUGCCAGCAGCCGCGGUAAUACGGAGGGUGCAAGCGUUAAUCGGAAUUACUGGGCGUAAAGCGCACGCAGGCGGUUUGUUAAGUCAGAUGUGAAAUCCCCGGGCUCAACCUGGGAACUGCAUUUGAAACUGGCAAGCUAGAGUCUCGUAUAGGGGGGUAGAAUUCCAGGUGUAGCGGUGAAAUGCGUAGAGAUCUGGAGGAAUACCGGUGGCGAACGCGGCCCCCUGGACGAAGACUGACGCUCAGGUGCGAAAGCGUGCGGAGCAAACACGAUUAGAUACCCUGGUAGUCCACGCUGUA
rnacentral:rRNA from 1 species